rnacentral:rRNA from 1 species
GACGAACGCUGGCGGCGUGCUUAACACAUGCCAGUCGAACGGAAAGGCCCUGCUUUUGUGGGGUGCUCGAGUGGCGAACGGGUGAGUAACACGUGAGUAACCUGCCCUUGACUUUGGGAUAACUUCAGGAAACUGGGGCUAAUACCGGAUAGGAGCUCCUGCUGCAUGGUGGGGGUUGGAAAGUUUCGGCGGUUGGGGAUGGACUCGCGGCUUAUCAGCUUGUUGGUGGGGUAGUGGCUUACCAAGGCUUUGACGGGUAGCCGGCCUGAGAGGGUGACCGGCCACAUUGGGACUGAGAUACGGCCCAGACUCCUACGGGAGGCAGCAGUGGGGAAUAUUGCACAAUGGGCGGAAGCCUGAUGCAGCAACGCCGCGUGCGGGAUGACGGCCUUCGGGUUGUAAACCGCUGUCGCCUGUGACGAAGCGUGAGUGACGGUAAUGGGUAAAGAAGCACCGGCUAACUACGUG